GCGGGCGUGGUAUAAUGGUAAUACCUUAGCCUUCCAAGCUAAAGACGCGGGUUCGAUUCCCGCCGCCCGCU
rnacentral:tRNA from 5 species